rnacentral:misc_RNA from 2 species
GCUUAGCCAUAAACAUUGAUAGCACUUUACAUCCGCUAUUCGCCAGGGAACUACGAGCAUAAGCUUAAAACCCAAAGGACUUGGCGGUGCUUAAGAUCCACCUAGAGGAGCCUGUUCUAGAACCGAUAACCCCCGUUCAACCUCACCCUCCCUUGUUUCUCCCGCCUAUAUACCGCCGUCGUCAGCUUACCCUGUGAAGGUCUAAUAGUAAGCAAAAUUGGUACAACCCAAAACGUCAGGUCGAGGUGUAGCGUAUGAGAGGGGAAGAAAUGGGCUACAUUCACUACCAUAGUGAAUACGAAUGAUAUACUGAAACGUACAUCUAAAGGAGGAUUUAGCAGUAAGCAGAGAAUAGAGCGCUCCGCUGAAAUAGGCCCUAAAGCGCGCACACACCGCCCGUCACCCUCCCCUAACUCAACUUUAACAAUAAAUAAUACAUCAAAUACUGUUAAGGGGAGGCAAGUCGUAACAUGGUAAGUGUACCGGAAGGUGCACUUGGAAAAAUCAGAACGUAGCUAAGACAGGAAAGCAUCUCCCUUACACCGAGAAGUCAUCCGUGCAAACCGGAUCGUCCUGAACUAAACAGCUAGCCCCACCCCAUAAAAUCAAACCAUCAUCAUAAAUAAACCCUAAAAAACAAUAACCAAACCCAAUUAAAUCAUUUUUCCACCUAAGUACGGGAGACGGAAAAGGACCCAAAGAGCUAUAGAACAAGUACCGCAAGGGAACGCUGAAAGAGAAAUGAAACAACCCAGUAAAGUAAAAAGAAGCAGAGACUAAAUCUCGUACCUUUUGCAUCAUGAUUUAGCCAGUAAUCCCAAGCAAAGAGCACUUUAGUUUGAUACCCCGAAACUAAGUGAGCUACUCCAAGACAGCCUAUUUUAGGGCCAACCCGUCUCUGUGGCAAAAGAGUGGGAAGAGCUUCGAGUAGAGGUGAUAAACCUACCGAACUUAGUUAUAGCUGGUUGCCUAGAAAUUGAAUUUAAGUUCAGCCUCUCGCCUUCUUCAAUCACACAGUUUAUAAUGCCCUCUGUCACCAAAGAAGACGAAAGAGUUAGUCCAAUGGGGUACAGCCCAUUUGACCUAAGACACAACUUUUAGUGCAGGCUAAAGAUCAAACUACCAAAGGGAAUAUGUCUUAGUGGGCCUAAAAGCAGCCACCUAAGCAGAAAGCGUUAAAGCUCAGACAUACCACAAGCCCCCAAUAAUCCUGAUAAGACACUCUUAAGCCCCACCACAUUACUAGGCUGUUUCAUGCAAACAUGAAAGCACCAAUGCUAAUAUGAGUAAUAAGAGAGCACCACCCUCUCUCCAAGCACGCACAUAUAUCGGAACGGACCCCCCACCGAAAAUUACCGGCCCCAAACAAAGAGGGUAAUGUACAAUUAACAAAAAACUAGAAACCCAUACAAAAUAAACCGUUAAGCCCACACUGGCGUGCCACUAAGGAAAGACUAAAAGAAAAAGAAGGAACUCGGCAAACACCCAAGGCCUCGCCUGUUUACCAAAAACAUCGCCUCUUGUCUACUAAAAAUAAGAGGUCCUGCCUGCCCAGUGACAUUAAGUUCAACGGCCGCGGUAUUUUGACCGUGCAAAGGUAGCGCAAUCACUUGUCUUUUAAAUGAAGACCCGUAUGAAUGGCACAACGAGGGCCAAACUGUCUCCUUUUUCAGGUCAAUGAAAUUGAUCCCCCCGUGCAGAAGCGGGGAUUAGCACAUAAGACGAGAAGACCCUAUGGAGCUUUAGACACCAGAGCAGCCCUUGUUAAACCACCCUAAACAAAGGAAAAAACCAAACGGACCCUGCCCCCAUGUCUUUGGUUGGGGCGACCGCGGGGAACACAAAACCCCCAUGUGGAAUGGGAAAACACCUCCUAAAACCAAGAGCUACAGCUCUAAGCAAUAGAAUAUCUAACCAAAAGAUCCGGCAAAGCCGAUCAACGAACCGAGUUACCCUAGGGAUAACAGCGCAAUCCCCUUUUAGAGUCCAUAUCGACAAGGGGGUUUACGACCUCGAUGUUGGAUCAGGACAUCCUAAUGGUGCAGCCGCUAUUAAGGGUUCGUUUGUUCAACGAUUAAAGUCCU